rnacentral:rRNA from 1 species
GAGGAUACACCUGUUCCCAUUCCGAACACAGAAGUUAAGCUCUCUAGCGCUGAUGGUACUUGGUGGGAAACUGCCUGGGAGAGUAGGACGUAGCCACGUU